rnacentral:sRNA from 1 species
CUUCUUCAAUUUGUUGCGGGCAAAUAAAAUGAAUGUGAGCAUCGAUGCCUCCAGCGGUAAGGAUGGAGCCUUCACCUGCAAUGACUUCAGUACCAGGUCCAAUCACUAUGUCUAUGUUGUCCUGAACAUCUGGAUUACCGGCUUUACCCACUUUGAAAAUGCGGCCUUCUUUGACGCCAACAUCUCCUUUAACAAUGCCCCAAUGAUCCAACACUAAGGCGUUGGUAAUCACCAGAUCGACGGCCACAUCAUUCGUUUGUUGGCUUUGUCCCAUACCAUCUCGUAUG